CUACUUUGCAAUGAGUCGUUGACACAGGUAAACCAGCCUUACUUGCCAACAAAACUGUCACUGCGGCUCCUACCUAAAAUAUUGAAAUAAAUAAAUACAAUACGUUCUUACAUGAUGUACUCCAAGGCGUGUCCAUCGUGUGCAACCGACAUGACAUUGACAGCAAUGGUGAGGCCAUAUGCUAAAGGAAGUAUACGAAGUCCCUGUUCAAAAGGUUCGCUAGACCUUAACACAAAUUUUCUUAUGAGCCAAAAGAUAGCAGCGGAUACGAUUCCGCUGAGGAGAGGGCUUGCAAACCAGGAUGCUGCUAUAUUUAUUAGGGCAAUCCAUUUUACCUAUAAAUUUUAAUGCAAUUGACAAGAGAAAAUCCUACAGUAGCUCCAACAAUGGAAUGUGUACCAGAAAUUGGAAGUCGUAAUGCAGUUGCAAGCAAUAACCAGAUUCCAGAUCCAGCUAGACUAGAAAGUGCUCCUACCAUUAAUUCUUUUUCGUGGCCUUCAUAUAACGUUACAUCUAGUAUACCCUUACGCAUUGUAUCAGAGACCUAACAAAGGAAAAACAAUAAGCAAAUUUGUUGGAAAAUUAAAUAUUUGAUACGUA